rnacentral:rRNA from 1 species
CCUACGGGGUGCACCAGGCGCGAAACCUCCACAAUGCUCGAAAGAGUGAUGGGGGUACUCCGAGUGUCUAUGCGUUGCAUAGUCUUUUCCUCGGCGUAAAUAGUCGGGGGAAUAAGGGCUGGGCAAGACCGGUGCCAGCCGCCGCGGUAACACCGGCAGCCCCAGUGGUGACCGCUUUUAUUGGGCCUAAAGCGUUCGUAGCCUGACAGGCAAGUCUUUGGGUAAAUCCUACGUCUUAAGCGUGGGCAUUCUAAAGAUACUACCUGUCUUGAGGCCGGGAGAGGCUAGAGGUACUCCUGGGGUAGGGGUAAAAUCCUAUAAUCCUGGGGGGACCACCGAUGGCGAAGGCAUCUAGCUGGAACGGGCCUGACGGUGAGGAACGAAACCCAGGGGAGCGAGCCGGAUUAGAUACCCCCGUAGUC